rnacentral:rRNA from 1 species
ACGCUUCUUAUUUCCACCGGAGCUUGCGUCCACCGGAAAAAGAGGAGUGGCGAACGGGUGAGUAACACGUGGGUAACCUGCCCAUCAGAAGGGGAUAACACUUGGAAACAGGUGCUAAUACCGUAUAACAAUCGAAACCGCAUGGUUUUGAUUUGAAAGGCGCUUUCGGGUGUCGCUGAUGGAUGGACCCGCGGUGCAUUAGCUAGUUGGUGAGGUAACGGCUCACCAAGGCCACGAUGCAUAGCCGACCUGAGAGGGUGAUCGGCCACAUUGGGACUGAGACACGGCCCAAACUCCUACGGGAGGCAGCAGUAGGGAAUCUUCGGCAAUGGACGAAAGUCUGACCGAGCAACGCCGCGUGAGUGAAGAAGGUUUUCGGAUCGUAAAACUCUGUUGUUAGAGAAGAACAAGGAUGAGAGUAACUGUUCAUCCCUUGACGGUAUCUAACCAGAAAGCCACGGCUAACUACGUGCCAGCAGCCGCGGUAAUACGUAGGUGGCAAGCGUUGUCCGGAUUUAUUGGGCGUAAAGCGAGCGCAGGCGGUUUCUUAAGUCUGAUGUGAAAGCCCCCGGCUCAACCGGGGAGGGUCAUUGGAAACUGGGAGACUUGAGUGCAGAAGAGGAGAGUGGAAUUCCAUGUGUAGCGGUGAAAUGCGUAGAUAUAUGGAGGAACACCAGUGGCGAAGGCGGCUCUCUGGUCUGUAACUGACGCUGAGGCUCGAAAGCGUGGGGAGCAAACAGGAUUAGAUACCCUGGUAGUCCACGCCGUAAACGAUGAGUGCUAAGUGUUGGAGGGUUUCCGCCCUUCAGUGCUGCAGCUAACGCAUUAAGCACUCCGCCUGGGGAGUACGACCGCAAGGUUGAAACUCAAAGGAAUUGACGGGGGCCCGCACAAGCGGUGGAGCAUGUGGUUUAAUUCGAAGCAACGCGAAGAACCUUACCAGGUCUUGACAUCCUUUGACCACUCUAGAGAUAGAGCUUCCCCUUCGGGGGCAAAGUGACAGGUGGUGCAUGGUUGUCGUCAGCUCGUGUCGUGAGAUGUUGGGUUAAGUCCCGCAACGAGCGCAACCCUUAUUGUUAGUU